rnacentral:misc_RNA from 1 species
CCAAACUUGGUCAUUUAGAGGAAGUAAAAGUCGUAACAAGGUCUCCGUUGGUGAACCAGCGGAGGGAUCAUUACAGAGUUGUCCUAAACUCUCCCAAACCCUUUGUGAACGUUACUGUUGUUGCCUCGGCGGGAGCGAGGCUACCCGGGAGUUACCCCGCACCUCGCAGCUACCCCGCCGGCGGACCACUAAAACUCUGGUGUACUGUCCUGCAUCUCUGAAUGCUUCAACUGAAAUCAGUUAAAACUUUCAACAACGGAUCUCUUGGUUCUGGCAUCGAUGAAGAACGCAGC